GAUGAACGCUGGCGGCGUGCCUAAUACAUGCAAGUCGAGCGAACAGACGAGGAGCUUGCUCCUCUGACGUUAGCGGCGGACGGGUGAGUAACACGUGGAUAACCUACCUAUAAGACUGGGAUAACUUCGGGAAACCGGAGCUAAUACCGGAUAAUAUCUUGCACCGCAUGGUUCAAUAGUGAAAGACGGUUUUGCUGUCACUUAUAGAUGGAUCCGCGCCGCAUUAGCUAGUUGGUAAGGUAACGGCUUACCAAGGCAACGAUGCGUAGCCGACCUGAGAGGGUGAUCGGCCACACUGGAACUGAGACACGGUCCAGACUCCUACGGGAGGCAGCAGUAGGGAAUCUUCCGCAAAGGGCGAAAGCCUGACGGAGCAACGCCGCGUGAGUGAUGAAGGUCUUCGGAUCGUAAAACUCUGUUAUUAGGGAAGAACAAAUGUGUAAGUAACUAUGCACGUCUUGACGGUACCUAAUCAGAAAGCCACGGCUAACUACGUG
rnacentral:rRNA from 1 species